GAUGAACGCUAGCGGCAGGCCUAAUACAUGCAAGUCGAACGGUGUCUUCGGACAUAGUGGCGCACUGGUGCGUAACACGUAUGCAACCUACCUUACAUUGGGGGAUAGCCUUUCGAAAGGGAGAUUAAUACCGCAUAAGACAGUAGCUGGGCAUCCAGCAGCUGUUAAAGAUUUAUCGAUGAAAGCUGGGCAUGCGUCCAAUUAGCUAGUUGGGGAGGUAACGGCUAACCAAGGCAAUGAUUGGUAGGGGAACUGAGAGGUCAAUCCCCCACACUGGCACUGAGAGACGGGCCAGACUCCUACGGGAGGCAGCAGUAGGGAAUAUUGGGCAAUGGACGCAAGUCUGACCCAGCCAUGCCGCGUGCAGGAUGAAGGCGUUAUGCGUUGUAAACUGCUUUUAUACAGGAAGAAACGACUCUUGCGAGAGGCAUUGACGGUACUGUAUGAAUAAGCACCGGCUAACUCCGUGCCAGCCGCCGCGGUAA
rnacentral:rRNA from 1 species